rnacentral:lncRNA from 1 species
UGCGAAAAGUAUAGGGAGUCUACUCAUUUUAUGUUGCAUUUUUUAAAAAUCUACAUUUGUUCCAAAACCUUCUUUAACAAGUAGUAUUUUUUGGCCAGGCACGGUGGCUCAUGCCUGUAACCCCAGCACUUUGGGAGGCCGAGGUGGGCGGAUCACCUGAGGUCCAGGAGUUUUGAGACCAGCCUGACCAACAUGAUGAAACCCCAUCUCUACUAAAAAUACAAAAUUAGCCGGGUGUGGUGGCUUAUGCCUGUAAUCCCAGCUACUUGGGAGGCUGAGGCAGGAGAAUUGCUUGAACCCAGGAGGCGGAAGGUGUAGUGAGCCGAGAUUGCACCACUGCACUCCAGCCUGGGCAACAAGAGCGAAACUCCGUCUCAAAAAAAAAAAAAAAAAAGUAGUAUUUUUCUUUCUUCCAAAUAUGAAUUUUACUUUUCUUACGACACACAACCACAAAAAACAAAUCCCUAGUUAAUAAUAUUAACUAUGUU